GGGGUUAUUUUGUGAAGUAUAUUUUUCGUUGUCAUUUUCGGUUAUUUUUCAAACUGUUUUUCGAUAGUUCUCGAUGCGUUUAAAUUCCGUCCUAACUAUUUAACGGCAAUAAUAUUAAAGUGUAUAAUAUUUGUGUCGAGCAAACACGGUAGAUACCUACGCUGUUAUAAUGUAUUAAAUUCGUCGGAAUAACAGCAAACCGUGCGCCGCCAUUCAAACACCGUCUACGUAGAUGGCGGGAUAAAAUAUCCUUUGACGGACAAAAAGAAGAAAAAAAAAAAUGUAAAAAAUUGUACGUAUAGAGCUGGUAAUAUUCGUGCCUUGGUGCGGUUACAGAGACGAGCUCCUGGCCUGAGUCUCGUGGCUUUGUACGUCGAGACCACCGUCUGAUCUUUGCGCCGCCGCCGAUCCAAUUGCACAAGUAUGAAACGCACGAGACAAACACGAGAUAUCAUCCCGCGAUUAUAUUUUGUUUCCACCUCUAUAUCCUUUUUGUAAACCCUUUUGUGUUCGGUCCCGUUGAACGUCGAUGGCGUUCAUACCGUACCUACACACAUAGCACUUCAAAGCGAAUCAAGCUAUUACUCCGAUCCUAGUGAAACAUAAACGAAAUCACCAAACUACAUUGUGUAUUUUUCGCGAUAUACCAUAUUUGCAUUCAAUUUACCCAUGUACGGCAUGCCAUAAAUUUAUGUCGGGUUGUACGAAAACCAUUUUGUAUACAGUUGGUUUCAUGAUCGGUCGGCUCUGUUUAAUUACCGACUGCGGUUAUUGAACAGAUUACGUUUCAAUAACGUAAAACAUAAUUUUAAUAGGAAUGCCAUGCCCGCGUAUAAUCGAUUUUAAUACUGAUAACAAAUACUACUCUGCAUAAUAAUAUAAUAAUAUGUAUUGACA